CAGGGAUUGAACUCCGGGGCACUCGACCACUGAGCCACAUCCCCAGCCCUAUUUUGUAUUUUACUUAGAGACAGGGUCUUACUGAGUUGCUUGCACCUUGCCUUUGCUGAGGCUGGCUUUGAACUCUCCAUACUCCUGCCUCAGCCUCCAGAGCUGCUGGGAUUAUGGGUGUGCGUCACUGGGCCUGGAUGAUUAUUCUCAUUGUAUAGAUGGAAGAAGCGAAGCCCAGAGAGAAUACACAACUCACUCAUGUCACAAGGCUGGAAAGUGCCAAUCAGAGGCAGAAUUCCUCUCCAGAGUCCUGGUUUACCCUAGGCCAUAUGUAGUCUCCAGAUGCAAAGAAAAAGAAUGAGGUAAGUUCUCACUCAACAGUGACAUUUUACAGAUGAUGCAAUGGGAAGAGCCUCCUUGUGAGGUGUCAGAAGUUUCUGGCUCUGAUGCCAGAUUGUGGUUCUGACACACCCCCACUUUCCUCUGGGCCUCAGUGAAGGCCUGGAUAAAGGUGGGGAUGGAUCAAUGCCAUGUUACACAUCUGUUCUGAGCUUCCAUUUGACUCUGACAAGAUGAUGAAUAAUAAUAACAGCAAACAUUGCUAGAACAUUUAAUCUGUGCCAGGCAGAUUACAUGUUUGUUUCAUUUAAUCCUCCUCCCUCCCCUGUGAGGUAUUAUCCUUAAACUGAUGAAAAAAUGAAGCUCAGAAUGGUGGAGCAACCUGCCUAAAGCCACACAGCUAAUAGGAAGUGAGGCUGGACUUGGAGAUGUGGUAUGCUCAUUUUUUAAAAAAUAUCUUUUUAGUUGUUGAUAGACCUUCAUUUAUUUAUAUGUGGUACUGAGAAUCAAACCCAGUGCCUCACACAUGCCAGGCAAGUGCACUACCGCUGAGCCCCAGCCCCAGCCUGGUGUGCUCAUUCUUAACCACUCCCCUGUCUGCCUUCUGGUUCUUGGUGCCUGGAUGUUUGGAGGCAAAGGAAUUUCAAGUGCUCUUUGUCAGAGCGGGAGAGAGAUGGGGGUGGGGCCCACUUGCCCUCCAGGAAACACUCAGGAUUUUCCGUUAUCAAGAUAAGCACCUUGAGCCAGGCAUGGGGGUGCACACCUGUAAUCCCAGCAACUCAGGAGGCUGAGACAGGAAAAUUGUGAGUUCAAAGCCAGCCUCAGCAAUGAUGAGGCCCUAAUCAACUCAGUGACACCCUGUCUCUAAAUAAAAUACAAAAUAGGGCUGGGGAUGUAGCUCAGUGGCUGAGUGCCCCUGAGUUCAAUCCCUGGUACAUCCCCCUGCCAAAAAAAAUUAAGCACCUUGGCUUCUACCAGGUGCUCUGAGAGCCCCACAAAUACAGAAUACCUUCCAAAGGAGAAGGAGAGCGAAAACCCUUAAGCUCUGUUCAUCUUGGAAUGGCCUGAAGUAGCAGUUAGGGGUCACAAGGCACAGAUACCUGAGGAUUUCUGAGCCUGGCCACCAUGGAUGAACUCACCAGGUAUUUACUGAGCAUCUUCUCAGCAUCCAGUGCCAUGCCAGGGCAGGGCUGCCAAACACAGUUGUGUACUGCACAACCCUCUGGAGGCACAAUUCAUAUUGUAGACACAAGUAGCUGACCCAACUGAGUGCCAGGAAUGCAGCAGUGAGCAAGACUGACCUAGCCCCUGAUCUCACAGGAGAUGCAGCCCCUUGGGGCAGCAGUCAAGAGAGGCAGGAAUGAGCAGGGGUGAUGAUGGGGGAGGAGCAGGGGCUGUGGGAGCUUGCAGGAAAGGUCACCAAACAAUACUUGGCAACUAAACCAAGACCUGAAGUAUAAACAGAAAUGGCCAAGAGUGUUCCAGGCAGAAGGAAAAGCAUGAGCGAUUAAUUGUAAUUAAGAUGAUACUGACUGCGGGCAUGGUGGCACAUGCCUGUAAUCCCAGUGACUCAGGAGGCUGAGGCAAAGAGGGUCACGAAUUCAAAGUCAGCAAUUAGGUAAGCCCUAAGCAACUCAGUAAGACCCUGUCUCUAAAUAAAAUAUAAAAAAGGGCUGGAGAUGUGGCUCAGAGUUUAAAUGCCCCUAGGUUCAAUCCCUGGUACCCCACCCCCACCCCCCAAAAAAAAGAAAAGAAAAGAUGAUACUGACUAUGAUAUUAACAUGAACAAAGAGCGUUGGGAGCCUUUAUUCAUGCCAUCAAUCAUUUACUCAUUAAGCAGAGAGAGUAGUUAUGCCUGGAUAUUGGAAAAAUUUCACCUGCGAAGUUAUCCUUGAACUGGGCCUUGAAGGAUGAGUAAGAGUUUUCCAGGGAGAGAAGCACCAAGAAGAGAAAACCACACAGGCAGAUGCAUGCAGGUGGAGAUGAGGUAGCAUGUUGCCUGCACAAAGGGGCGUUUUAGGAUGCCAUUCCCAGCUACCUUUCAUAGAUCUUUUUCUUUUGACCCUAACCUUGAUAUUUAAUAUUCAUUUUUUAAAAUAUUUUUUGAAUUAUUGAUGCAACUUUAUUUUAUUCAAUUCUGAGAAUUGAACCCAGUACCUCAUACAUGCUAGGCAAGUGCUCUACCACUAGGCCACAACCCCAGCCCUUAAUAUUCAUUUUUAACAUGCCUCAUCUGUUAAUAAGGGUUCAGACAGGAGUGUUGGAUGGAUGCAUGCAUGAGUGCAAGAAUCAAUGGGUGGGUGGAAGGAUUAAUGCAUGCAUGAAUGAAGGAAAAUAAGAAAGAGUGAAUAAUAACAGCAAACAUUUUAUAUAGUGAUUUCCAUGUGCCAGGUAUUGUCCUAAGUGCUUUAUAUUUAUUUAAUCAUUAAAUCCUCACACAACCCUGGGAGGUAGGUACUGUUAUAUGCAUUUUACAAAUGAGAAAAGAGAUUCAUGGAAGGUUAAUGGGCACGAUGCGGUGCAGACAGGAAGUGGGGAACCUGGGUUUGAACUGAGGCUGCCUGGCUCCAGAGGACACUCCAGCCUGGCUCUCUCAUUUCUCCAGAUAGUUCCUUUCUCACCCCAGAGUGGUUUCUUGGCAAGGCCUUCUCCGGAAAUGUGCUAUCUCCUUGGAGCAGACAUGGAUUCAGGUGGCUGUGACUGGAAGUACCUGGGGGUCCUACAGGGCAGCUGUAACAGGCUGAGGACAGGGUCGCAUCUCAUGGGCAGGCUGGGUGAGGAAGCAGGGGCCCCAGCCUCCAUAGCGAAGAGCCAAGAGUGCCCCAGUUCUGGGUGUCCCUCUCUGAUCACUGAGCAGGAAGCUUGGAGUUUGCCUUUUGGGUUCAUUGUAUUAGCAUUUCCAAAGAGUCCCUCUUCCUGUGAAGUGUAUUAACGAUUCACUCUGGCUGGCUGGUCUCUCACCCAGGGCAGGCUCAUCAGGAAGUACCUCAGAUUUCCUAGGAAUCCUCUGAGACAUUUUGACAUUCUGAUUGUCACUGCCAACGUGGGCUGCGAAGGAAUUAAUUGACAUGGAUGAAACCCUCAAUUUCCAAGGGCUGUGUAAUAAAAUAAAGGUUAUUGUAUUAUCGAAGAUUCCACCACUAAUAGAAAAGGGCUAAAGACCAUAAUCACAAUACAGCAUGCUUAGUGGGGACUUUUAUUUCCACAGGCAACCAUCCUGAACUUUAGAGAAUAAAAAUAAUGAUAGUUAUUAUUUGUUGAGAAUUUAUGAUAUGCUAGACACUUGACUAAAUGAUCUGUCUUUGUUAUAUAUUCUCACAACAACCCUAUGAGGGAGGUAUUACAUUCAUUUCCAUUGUACAGAUGAAGAAACUGAGGUUUGGAGAGGUGAAAUGAACACAGUAAAUUGUAGAGUAAGGAUAGAAGACCUUGUGGGUGAAACACAUUCUAUAUUUUUGGGUGUGAGGGAAUACUAAAAUACCUGGGCAGGCAGUGUUAAAAUAUUUGCUAAGUGUAGGGCGUUCUAUGUGGUAGAGCAUCAAGAGUGCUUGUACAUACUUUCUAGCCUUUGGGAGAACACCACAGCCUUUUCCCUCAGACCACAGAAAUCUCAUCCAUCUAUCUCCCCAUCCAUCCAUCCAUCCAUCCAUCCAUCCAUCCAUACAAAAGAGAUUCAUCCAUUUAUCAUCCACCCACCCCUCCAUCCAUUUAUCUGCCUAUAUAUCUGCCCAUCCCAUUUAUCCAUCAGCCAUCCACCCAUUCAUGCAUCCUUUCAUUUAGUCAUAUAUUCAUGUAUUCACUUAUGUAUUCAAAUCAAUGGUGUCUCUGAUUACCCCUCCCCAGUGUCUGUCAUGGAAGCAGGUGCCACUACGGUCUGAUAUGGAUGCCUGCAAUGACUAAUGUAGCAGAUGGGAGAGAAGCAGAGGAGGUCAAAGAGCUGGGAGAUACAGUACUAGAUGUAUAAUUUGUAAAGUCCCUUCGACUUUCUCAUCUCUAGUCUCCCUAUAUGUAAAACAGGGAUUGCAUUUGCAUUUUGUGAAUUUAAAGUUAAAUAAAUAGGAAAACUGCUUUAGAAAUAUAAAACUGCUGCACACAUUUAUGUCCCAUCCUACCACCACCAUCACCACGAUCAUCAUCAUCAUAUCACUUGUACAGUGUGUACUAGAACCUGAAACAUCCUUUAGUCUGGGAAAUCAGCAUCUGUCAGUGAGCCAUUCUGAUUUUGUUAUACAGAAUUUCUCUAAAAUUUACAAAUUCUCUAAAAUGAAAUCAUACAAUUAUUUGGGUUUAUAAUCAUUGAAUCUAUUUCAUGUCCUCUUGCAAGUACAGAAAGUACUGGGGAAUAAAGAUCAGAAAAGAACUUGGUGAGAAGGGGGUAGCCUAUCAUGAAAUCCAAAGCCUGUCAUUCUUAGUUUAAUGGAUAGAGCUCUCUCCAAAGUUACUAUAUAUCAGGGUGGUUAUUGAAGGCCUAUUGCCUCUUGGUUAUAAAGAGAAGUGAGAAGAUGCUAUAUGGAAAUAUGUGCCUAAAAACCCAGGAAAAGAUGAACAAUCAGGUUUCAAAGUGAGCAGGAACUAUAGUAAAUACAGGCCUUAUAGACACUGUGUAUCAGUCAGCUUAGGUUAAGUUAUACGCCAGUAACAGACAAUCCCCAAAUCUCAGAAGCCUGUGACAAACAUUUAUGUCUCCCUUAUGUUACAUGUCUUUCAGGAGUCAGCUGCAGCUCUGUCCUGUGUGAUCUUCAUUCUGGAGCCGAGGUGGACAGAGGAGUACACUGGUUCUUAAUGUUUCCCUUUACAUUUUAUUGACUAAAGCUAAUUGCAUGACUGAGACUGACAGUGAUGAGAAACAUAUUUCACCUGUAGAGUGGGCACCCAAAGGAGGAACAAUAAUACAACUUUCCAUUGGUUGCAACUGCACUAGACAGUCUCAAAGUAGGUUGGAGGAAGGAUUUUGCGGGAAGAGGUGGUAGCUCAGGUACCUGGGCUUCUCUGUGUGUCCACCUCUUCCCCUUUCACCACUCACUGACUCUUUGGACAUUUCUGUCUGUGACUUCUGCUUUUCUGUCUUGAUGUUCCUGUUUCCUCCUGACUUUGGCUUCCCCUUCAUUGUCCUUUUGCCCUCUUUGCCCUUAUGACCUGUCACCUUCCAAUCUAUCUAUGAAUUAGUCAGAAAUCUUUAGGCUCAGGUACCAGACACCCAAAUCAAAUUAAUGUAAGAAAAGAAAGGAAGGAAGGAGGGAAAGAAAGAAAAUGAAUCCUUCUUUUGGGCACAUAUACAAAUAAUGAGAAAUAGAGCUGGCCUUCAGCAUGGCUAGGUCUCCUGGGCCUUGAUGAUUCCCUUGCCAUCUUCAUCUCCUCUUGCCACUGUGUUAAUCCAUCUUUGGACAGACUCUUCCAUUGAUUCAUGGGGGGGUGCCAUGGCAGGGUCCACUGUUUUCUCCCAACAGCCAUCUCUUCCUCCAAUGAGGUAGAUAUUUUAAUUGGCAACGAGGUGUGGAUGACAUUCUGCUAAUGGGAUAUGAGCAAAAAGUGAUGUGUGUGAUUUUAUAUUUCCACUUCCCUUUUCCUGCCUUCUGGCUGGCUAGAAUGUGUUUGCUGUGGGGAUAAGGGUCACAGCAAGCUAGAAGGAACCUGGGCUCCUGGGCUUCUGAGGACUUUUGUGGACCAGAGCUGAUAUAUCCACUUGAGUUUUUAUAUGAAAAAGAAGGUAACUUUUAUCUUGUUUAAACCAUUGUUAUAUGGGUCUUUGUUACAGUAGACUAGUACGUUAAUUCACAUCUUCUCCCCGUACCCACAAUUGUGGUCAAGGGAUAAAAUGAAUCAACUGGCUAGGCCUGGGGAUUUGGGGCCCUACCCCAGAAUUUGGAGGUAGGACCAGCUCACCCAAACUCUAGAAGUGAAAGAGGUAGGGGACACAUUCCCCAAGGAAUAUUGGAGUGCUAUCACCAGAAAAAAGUGUGAAUCGGUUGCUAGGCAGGCAAAAAUAGCACAUGUCCAUCCUACUCUGCAAACUCCUCAUUCUCCUUUUGUUUACCUGAUUAGAUUCCCUGAGGAGAAAGUCUGAUUGGCCCAGCUCAGCUUUUUCCUCCCACCAGGCCACAGAGGAGAUUGCUGGCCUGUCCAUCAUCUGUCAGAUACAUGGUCAUAAUGGUCCAAUCAACUGUGGCUAUGAAGAUGGGUCACCUGUGGCUUUCCCUUGGUGCACAGAGGGGACAGUGUAAUCCUUCAGAGCCUGUUCUCCACUUGCUGCAGUGGGUGAAGCUCAAGACGAGGCCUGGGGGUACGCUGGAAAUAGUGUCUUAGUCUCUUUGAGCUGCUAUAACAAAACACCAUAACCUGGGUGGCUUAGAAACAACAGAACUUUACUUCUCACAACUCUGGAGACUGAUAGAGGUGCUGAUAGAUUUGGUGUCUCCCUUAUUUACUUGUCUGUCAUGGGUCCUCUUCAUGGUUCAUAGAACUGUGCCUUCUUCUCACUGCCCUCGCAUGGUGGAAGGGGAAAAGUAGCUUUCUGGGGCCUCUUUUAUAAGGGCACUAAUCUUCUUCACAAAGCUCCAACUUUAUGAUCUAAUUGCCUCCAAGGAUCCCCACCUCCUAAUAUCAUCACAUUGAUGAUUAGGUUUUUAACAUGUGAGUUUUGGAAACACAUGUUUAGAUCACAGUGUCCAGCUCUGGGAAAUGGAUUAAGGGGAAAUUGGGAAUUGGUAAUGGGAUCUAUAUGUUCUGUGUCCAGACAUCCAACAGUCUCUCUUCUCCUGGCAAUCAUCUCAGCAAUGACACAAGGAUCCUGGUUGGGUCAUCUUCUCUGUGCCAGAGGCAAGACAAGUCCUUUAAAUUUACUGCAAACACUCAUUGGGGAUGGACCAGAGUGUUUGUUAACUCCAAACGCC
rnacentral:lncRNA from 1 species